UGGGCGUAAAGCGCGUGUAGGCGGUUUUGUAAGUCUGAUGUGAAAGCCCUGGGCUCAACCCAGGAAGUGCAUUGGAAACUGUCAGACUUGAAUACGGGAGAGGGUAGUGGAAUUCCUGGUGUAGGAGUGAAAUCCGUAGAUAUCAGGAGGAACACCGGUGGCGAAGGCGGCUACCUGGACCGAUAUUGACGCUGAGACGCGAAAGCGUGGGUAGCAACACAGGAUUAGAUACCCAGGUAUUCCACGCCGUAAACGAUGAGUAC
rnacentral:rRNA from 1 species